UUUGCCAGGAUUAUGGAUGUUUUGCAAAUGUUCCUAUUAGUAUUGAUGUUUUCAAGUUUCGAAUGUUUUAACAGAUCACAGUUACAAUUUGACAUAGUUAAUGGCUACCCGUCGAUACAUCGGCCGUUUUAUGUGCGGUUGAACUUUCGUCAACGGGGUAAAUUGAGUUGUGGCGGAUCAACUAUCAACAAAUUCUUCGUGGCAACAGCCGCAGUUUGCGUACAAAACGUACAUGCUGGUUCAAUCAUCGUUGAACUGCGAGACUUCACCAAGUUACAUAGCACUUUGGACACGCGCGAAGUCUUAAGGGUGUACAUUGCUCCCUCAAAAGAACUUGGGGUGAAACCAGGCAACAGCAUUGCUCUUCUGGAGCUGAACGAGCCAAUUCUGGAAGAAACAAAAAUAAUUGAGACUUGUGUCUGCAACGAGCAACAUGGUACCUUGUUAGGAACCUGUGGUUUGGGGUUGGACUCUGGGACGGCUGGAAAAAUACCACAAGUGUUGCGGGAAAUAAAUUUGAG